ACUCCUACGGGAGGCAGCAGUGGGGAAUUUUGGACAAUGGGCGAAAGCCUGAUCCAGCAAUGCCGCGUGAGUGAGGAAGGCCUUCGGGUUGUAAAGCUCUUUUGUCAGGGAAGAAACGGUGAAAGCUAAUAUCUUUUGCUAAUGACGGUACCUGAAGAAUAAGCACCGGCUAACUACGUGCCAGCAGCCGCGGUAAUACGUAGGGUGCAAGCGUUAAUCGGAAUUACUGGGCGUAAAGCGUGCGCAGGCGGUUUUGUAAGUCUGAUGUGAAAUCCCCGGGCUCAACCUGGGAAUUGCAUUGGAGACUGCAAGGCUAGAAUCUGGCAGAGGGGGGUAGAAUUCCACGUGUAGCAGUGAAAUGCGUAGAUAUGUGGAGGAACACCGAUGGCGAAGGCAGCCCCCUGGGUCAAGAUUGACGCUCAUGCACGAAAGCGUGGGGAGCAAACAGGAUUAGAAACCCUUGUAGUCCCAUGAU
rnacentral:rRNA from 1 species